CAAUAGCGUAUACUAACGUUGUUGCAGUUAAAAGCUCGUAGUUGGAUUUCUGUGUUGGUGAGGCGGCCGGCCAUUCGUGGUUGUAGCUAGUUAUCACCGGCGCAUCUUGUCACAAGCCACGCUGGCCUUAACUGGUUGGCGUUGGGGACUGACUCGUUUACUUUGAGAAAAUUAGAGUGUUCAAAGCAGGCUAUCGCCUUGAAUAUGUUAGCAUGGAAUAAUGAUAUAGGACUUUGGUUCUAUUUUGUUGGUUGUUCGAGAACCGAAGUAAUGAUUGAUAGGGACAGUUGGGGGCAUCAGUAUUCUGAAGCGAGAGGUGAAAUUCUUGGAUUGCGUUACGACGAACUACUGCGAAAGCAUUUGCCAAGGAUGUUUUCAUUGAUCAAGAACGAAAGUUAGGGGAUCGAAGAUGAUCAGAUACCGU
rnacentral:rRNA from 1 species